AGCGAACGCUGGCGGCAGGCCUAACACAUGCAAGUCGAACGAACUCUUCGGAGUUAGUGGCGGACGGGUGAGUAACACGUGGGAACGUGCCUUUAGGUUCGGAAUAACUCAGGGAAACUUGUGCUAAUACCGAAUGUGCCCAUCUGGGGAAAGAUUUAUCGCCUUUAGAGCGGCCCGCGUCUGAUUAGCUAGUUGGUGAGGUAAAGGCUCACCAAGGCUACGAUCAGUAGCUGCUCUGAGAGGAUGACCAGCCACAUUGGGACUGAGACCCGGCCCAAACCCCUACGGGAGGCAGCAGUGGGGAAUCUUGCGCAAUGGGCGAAAGCCUGACGCAGCCAUGCCACGUGGAUGAUGAAGGUCUUAGGAUUGUAAAAUACUUUCACCGGUGAAGAUAAUGACUGUAGCCGGAGAAGAAGCCCCGGCUAACUUCGUGCCAGCCGCCGCGGUAAAAC
rnacentral:rRNA from 1 species